GAUGAACGCCGGCGGCGUGCCUAAUACAUGCAAGUCGAGCGAACAGACGAGGAGCUUGCUCCUCUGACGUUAGCGGCGGACGGGUGAGUAACACGUGGAUAACCUACCUAUAAGACUGGGAUAACUUCGGGAAACCGGAGCUAAUACCGGAUAAUAUAUUGAACCGCAUGGUUCAAUAGUGAAAGACGGUUUUGCUGUCACUUAUAGAUGGAUCCGCGCCGCAUUAGCUAGUUGGUAAGGUAACGGCUUACCAAGGCAACGAUGCGUAGCCGACCUGAGAGGGUGAUCGGCCACACUGGAACUGAGACACGGUCCAGACUCCUACGGGAGGCAGCAGUAGGGAAUCUUCCGCAAUGGGCGAAAGCCUGACGGAGCAACGCCGCGUGAGUGAUGAAGGUCUUCGGAUCGUAAAACUCUGUUAUUAGGGAAGGACAAAUGUGUAAGUAACUAUGCACGUCUUGACGGUACCUAAUCAGAAAGCCACGGCUAACUACGUG
rnacentral:rRNA from 1 species